GUUUUUAUAAUUUAAGUAAAAUAUUGGUUUUGUAAACCAAACAUAGGAUUUUCCUUAAAAACA
rnacentral:tRNA from 1 species